GCGAUUUGGGAUUUGUUUUGGUGUUGCAAACAUGAGAGUACUGCACAACAUAACGUAAAUGUAACGAGUUAGCCUCAAAGUGUAGUCCCCUAUAAACAGAUACGUGUUCAUUGGACUCAUGUAGUAGGGUGUGCUUUAGCAGUGAAUGGAGGAUGAGCAGCUCAGGACAGAGCAGCGGGACAUCAGCUGACCUCUUUGAAGACUUAUGGAGGCAGCUCAGAGAGUGCCAACAGAAUGCAUUACAAGAACUUGAGGCAAAAGUGACCAAGUUGAAAAAGGAGCACUAUUU